rnacentral:rRNA from 1 species
AGUGAACGCUGGCGGUAGGCCUAACACAUGCAAGUCGAACGGCAGCACAGUAAGAGUUUGCUCUUACGGGUGGCGAGUGGCGGACGGGUGAGGAAUACAUCGGAAUCUACUUUUUCGUGGGGGAUAACGUAGGGAAACUUACGCUAAUACCGCAUACGACCUACGGGUGAAAGCAGGGGAUCUUCGGACCUUGCGCGAUUAAAUGAGCCGAUGUCGGAUUAGCUAGUUGGCGGGGUAAAGGCCCACCAAGGCGACGAUCCGUAGCUGGUCUGAGAGGAUGAUCAGCCACACUGGAACUGAGACACGGUCCAGACUCCUACGGGAGGCAGCAGUGGGGAAUAUUGGACAACAGGAGCGAGCAUGAUCCAGCCAUACCGCGUGGGUGAAGAAGGCCUUCGGGUUGUAAAGCCCUUUUGUUGGGAGAGAAAAGCAGCAGGUUAAUACCCAGCUGUUCUGACGGUACCCAAAGAAUAAGCACCGGCUAACUUCGUG